ACGCGCUGCUCUACGGCACCAGCCCCCUGAACCGCCAGAAACUGGACAGCAAGAAGCUGCUGGGUCCCAUCACUCCGAAGACGUACGCGGUGCUGCCGUGCGGGGGCAUCGGGGUGGACAGUGACACGGUGUGGAACGAGCUGCACUCGUCCAGCGCCGUGCGCACGGCCGUGGGCUGCCUGCUGGAGCUGGCCUUCAAGGUGGCCGCGGGGGAGGUCAAGGUGAGGUGGCACUGGCACCGUCACCGUGCCCCCUGCGGUGUCCCCGUCUGUCCCGUGUGUGUCCCAGUGCCACCCGUGUCACCGUGCCCCCUGCGGUGUCCCUGUCUGUCCCGUGUGUGUCCCAGUGCCACCAGUGUCACUGUGCCCCCUGCGGUGUCCCGGUCUGUAUGUGUGUGUCCCAGUGCCACCCGUGUCACCGUGCCCCCUGCGGU